GCAUUGACACAGCGUCACCCACUGUCCCCCGAAAGGGAGGGGUCUUUUCCCGCCACCGCAGUUCAAGUGGAAGAAGCGGCGGGUCCCAAGCCCUCUUGCCUCUCAGAACGCCGUUCCCUUGGCAACCAGAAGCGGACGCUUCCAGUCUCGCGAUAGGAGAAAAGGACAGUACCAUCUAGAAACGAAACUUGGGAGGCCAAGAACGACUGGGACCCAACCUGACGAAACUCUGAGACCUGGGGAAUCUCUGCUGUCUCUGUUUUCUGGACGGAAGGUGGAGGGUGUGGAAUGGUUUGUUUGUAUUUAGGUUGAACUCGGAACGAGGAUGUAUGGAUGCUUGUAUGCCUCUGUCCUCACUAUUCAUAUGAUGCGCUACAGUGCCAUCAAAUGUCGUCUGCUUCUUCCAAUAUAAGCAACAUUUUACAGUUUACAAGGCAUUUUCAAUACACGGACCUUUUAGCCUCAUUGUUAGGUGGUGAGACUCAGAAUUAACAAGGGGGACCUGAGGCAGAAGGUGACGACUCUGAGUACUCUCAGCUGAGUGAUUUUGGGCAUUCCGGUAA